AGGAUCAACUUGCAGCAGACAUGUACAACUUUAUGGCCAAAGAAGGGGAAUAUGGCAAAUUCUUUGUUACGUUAUUAGAAGCCCAAGCAGAUUACCAUAGAAAAGCAUUAGCAGUCUUAGAAAAGACCCUCCCCGAAAUGCGAGCCCAUCAAGAUAAGUGGGCGGAAAAACCAGCCUUUGGGACUCCCCUAGAAGAACACCUGAAGAGGAGCGGGCGCGAGAUUGCGCUGCCCAUUGAAGCCUGUGUCAUGCUGCUUCUGGAGACAGGCAUGAAGGAGGAGGGCCUUUUCCGAAUUGGGGCUGGGGCCUCCAAGUUAAAGAAGCUGAAAGCUGCUUUGGACUGUUCUACUUCUCACCUGGAUGAGUUCUAUUCAGACCCCCAUGCUGUAGCAGGUGCUUUAAAAUCCUAUUUACGGGAAUUGCCUGAACCUUUGAUGACUUUUAAUCUGUAUGAAGAAUGGACACAAGUUGCAAGUGUGCAGGAUCAAGACAAAAAACUUCAAGACUUGUGGAGAACAUGUCAGAAGUUGCCACCACAAAAUUUUGUUAACUUUAGGUAUGUAUGAUUGAGCUACAAUGACUCUGGAGUGAAGAUAAGUUUAAUGCUCAGCAGAGAAGUCAUUUAAUUCAGGCAUACUUGGCACAUUAAAAAACAACAACAACAACAAAAAAAACACAUCACUUUGGAGAGUAACUUGGGGCUACUGGGAAUGGGAUUUCAUGUAUAUUAUGAUGAAUUUGAAGCAUCAGUAUCAUGCCUGACAUUAAUACGUAAGUUGGCUUAUCAUUUCCACACUACAGCUAUUAGCAAUAAAUUUCUUGUGAAAAGUUUGAGUGACUGUAUGUUGGGUUUGGAGUCCAAAUCAUCCAGUAUGUUAAAGGCAAAAUUAAUCAAUAGUUGUACAUUCUGUAAUGUCUUUUAUAUGUGCUACUUUAUUUUAAAGUAUAAAUCAUGUUACUAAAUAAAAUUUCAAGGA
rnacentral:sRNA from 1 species